rnacentral:rRNA from 1 species
UGAGUAACGCGUGAGUAACCUGCCUUCAAGAGGGGGAUAACAUUCUGAAAAGAAUGCUAAUACCGCAUGACAUAUCGGAACCACAUGGUUUUGAUAUCAAAGAUUUUAUCGCUUGAAGAUGGACUCGCGUCCGAUUAGUUAGUUGGUGAGGUAACGGCUCACCAAGACCGCGAUCGGUAGCCGGACUGAGAGGUUGAACGGCCACACUGGGACUGAGACACGGCCCAGACUCCUACGGGAGGCAGCAUG